rnacentral:rRNA from 1 species
UGAAAUGGGCUGCUCCUAGUACGAGAGGACCGGAGUGGACGCAUCACUGGUGUUCGGGUUGUCAUGCCAAUGGCAC